ACCAUGCUUUGAGAUGUCAGAGAAUUCCACAACACCUUGUAUUUCUGAGUGACUGUGUGGAGUAGAACGUCAUCUCUUUCAAUCACCCAGGAUGAAGUAUAUGGAGUUGGCAUUGCUGGGUAUGGGAUCCAGUGAAAUUAUUUUGGGAGAUCGUAGCAGAAAGACACAGAGGACACCAGAGGACUUUUUGGAAGUUACAGGCAGUCAUCCAAGAGCAUUAACCCAAAUGCAAAUACAUUUUUCAGACAACUCAUAGCUGGUGGAAUAUUCCAGAACAAUACUUUUAGCUUCUGCAUGGAGAAGAGCAUCCUGACAGACCUUGACAACCUCAUCCUCCCCUGUGACUGGCUCAACUUCCACUCCAGUUUACAAUAUCAACAAAUUGUCCAAGUACGAUUGAGAGUUGGGAAAAUCCUCUCCUGGGGACUUCUCCCGACUCCAGUGGUGCCCAGCUGAAGAAUCAUUAUCCUGCUUCUUCAUAAUGCACCCAAUG